rnacentral:lncRNA from 1 species
CAGAUAUUUUCUUCCUUUUUGUGUCAUCAUUCCUAUAUUUUCAAGGGUGGAAGGAGGUUGGUGAGAAGAAGAGGAGGUAAAAGGAGAGAAAGUUCUUACUUGACUGGUACUGUUUUAAAGUGAAAAUUGUAGCUCUCUGGAAGGCCGGUGCCUAAAUAUCAAUAUUCUCUCUUGAAAUUUCUUCAAAUAUCUCCCACAUUCUCCUCUCCAGCUGCUCUCUUCUUGCAAAUGUCCCACACAGAUCUUGGAGUCACGCCAUCCAGGCUCCAGCUUGCCUACAUUACUCAACAACCUCUUAAUCUAAGGAAAAACUCAUAUCUUUUUCCAGCAAACACUGGAAAUAAAAGCCAUCCCCUAUGGAGCCCUCUCUCUUUGUUCUGCUUCUCAGCUAACACCAGACAGCUUUGAGCUAUUUCUUUUACAGUGAGAGUCAGGCAUGAGUGUUUAUACCUCCCCACCCUUCGGAUGAUUCUCUUGGAGUCCUAUUUAUUUGGCUUAAGUUGAAGAAGAGCACAUUCUCCGCCCCCUGCCCCCUCCAAGAAAUGGGAGAGGAAAAAAAAAUAGCACUCCAAAAUUUUUCUUAAGGAAAUCUUCAUUUGUCAGUUCUCACCCAUUAAUUUACUAGCCUCCUUUUAUGUAUAGGCUGGAGGUGGUGAUAGGUUAGAUGUUUGGAACCAAUUUGGGCCACCUUCCAACAAAUUCUGCCUAGAUGGUCUAGCACCUUUCUAGAAUGUGUGGGCAUUUAACACCCACUGUGCUCUGCUUUGGAGCCCCAGCCAGACAUCAAAACCAGCAGGAACAGUCUCACUUACUUCCCUGCUACAGUUCUAAAAUGGCGGCUGAACUGCCUAUUAGGACCAAGGUUCUGACGCCCUUAGAAGAAACUGGCAGAUGAACAGAAAGCUGACCAAAUUUGAACUAGGUGUUUAUGCAUCACAUUUAUUCUCCGUAACUUUCACUCACCCAUUCCACAAGGUUUUAUUACUUACAUAUAUUUGGAAAGCACCAGGAGUUAUUCUGGAGAAUUUAAUUAAGUAGACGAGACAAACUUUCUUUGCUCUUGAAGGAAGAUUAUUUCAGAGACCCUUUACUGUAAUGCAGUGCUUCCAAAAUUUAUGUAUGCUAUUAAGAAGGAAGUAAAAGUAUAACCUUUGGUGUCUGAGAAUAUCAUCUGAAAUAGUGAAUAUCUUCAUUCUUUAUACUGGUAAGGUAUGAAUACCCUGGGGGGUUCAUUCUUCCUCAAGAGUACACAAAAAGUGAUGUUUUAAAGGAAUCGAGUUUCAGAUCUUCAACUCUCUUAAGUGCACAGAAACAAAAUUGAUCUGCUGAAGAAGGAACAUGUAGUUGAGUUCUGCCUCUUUUCCUAACUUUUCUUCUUUUUUCUUCCCCAAUUUACAUCUUAUUUCAUGCCUCCUAGAUUUUACCAUCUUUCAUUACUCUAGGAGGUAAAAACCCCAGAACAGCCAAAAUGUAGCAAUGAUUUUCAAAAUACUACUUUUGAUUUUGAAAAGGUGAGUGAUUCUGAUGAAUGGGAAAGAAAUGAUAAAUAUUUUGUGAUUCAGUGUUUUCCAACUAUUUGCAUAUAACAAAAGUUACAGGAGCACAUAAUUAAGCUGUCAGUUGAUAAGUCAUUAGUUUUUAGUGAUAGAUCACUAUUUUGCUUUGUAUACGUGAUUACAAAAUAAUUUAAAGAAUUGAGAGAUAUUGCUAUAACCGC